rnacentral:rRNA from 1 species
CAUGAGUAACACGUGGGCAACCUGCCUGUAAGACUGGGAUAACUUCGGGAAACCGGAGCUAAUACCGGAUAAUCCUUUUCCUCUCAUGAGGAAAAGCUGAAAGACGGUUUCGGCUGUCACUUACAGAUGGGCCCGCGGCGCAUUAGCUAGUUGGUGAGGUAACGGCUCACCAAGGCGACGAUGCGUAGCCGACCUGAGAGGGUGAUCGGCCACACUGGGACUGAGACACGGCCCAGACUCCUACGGGAGGCAGCAGUAGGGAAUCUUCCGCAAUGGACGAAAGUCUGACGGAGCAACGCCGCGUGAGCGAUGAAGGCCUUCGGGUCGUAAAGCUCUGUUGUCAGGGAAGAACAAGUACCGGAGUAACUGCCGGUACCUUGACGGUACCUGACCAGAAAGCCACGGCUAACUACGUGCCAGCAGCCGCGGUAAUACGUAGGUGGCAAGCGUUGUCCGGAANUUAUUGGGCGUNAAAGCGCGCGCAGGCGGUUCCUUAAGUCUGAUGUGAAAGCCCCCGGCUCAACCGGGGAGGGUCAUUGGAAACUGGGGAACUUGAGUGCAGAAGAGGAGAGCGGAAUUCCACGUGUAGCGGUGAAAUGCGUAGAGAUGUGGAGGAACACCAGUGGCGAAGGCGGCUCUCUGGUCUGUAACUGACGCUGAGGCGCGAAAGCGUGGGGAGCGAACAGGAUUAGAUACCCUGGUAGUCCACGCCGUAAACGAUGAGUGCUAAGUGUUAGAGGGUUUCCGCCCUUUAGUGCUGCAGCAAACGCAUUAAGCACUCCGCCUGGGGAGUACGGCCGCAAGGCUGAAACUCAAAGGAAUUGACGGGGGCCCGCACAAGCGGUGGAGCAUGUGGUUUAAUUCGAAGCAACGCGAAGAACCUUACCAGGUCUUGACAUCCUCUGACAACCCUAGAGAUAGGGCGUUCCCCUUCGGGGGACAGAGUGACAGGUGGUGCAUGGUUGUCGUCAGCUCGUGUCGUGAGAUGUUGGGUUAAGUCCCGCAACGAGCGCAACCCUUGAUCUUAGUUGCCAGCAUUCAGUUGGGCACUCUAAGGUGACUGCCGGUGACAAACCGGAGGAAGGUGGGGAUGACGUCAAAUCAUCAUGCCCCUUAUGACCUGGGCUACACACGUGCUACAAUGGAUGGAACAAAGGGCAGCGAAGCCGCGAGGUGAAGCCAAUCCCAUAAAACCAUUCUCAGUUCGGAUUGCAGGCUGCAACUCGCCUGCAUGAAGCCGGAAUCGUUGGUAAUCGCGGAUCAGCAUGCCGCGGUGACUACGUUCCCGUAGAUUGUGCAC